GCGGGAAUAGCUCAGUUGGUAGAGCACAACCUUGCCAAGGUUGGGGUCGCGGGUUCGAGCCCCGUUUCCCGCUCCA
rnacentral:tRNA from 5 species